GACAAACAAGGAAUUGUCAGCUACAGAGGUAUGAAAAAAUCUGCCAGAUUUGAACAAUGUGCAUUCACGAAACUAUACAGAGGAGACACUUGUGCAAUAAAUUUAUGAUUCCAAACAUUUUUUGGCAACUCAGGACAAAAUAAAUACAAAGGGCAUAAUAUAUAUUUUAUGUCAGCAUUAUAGGUAUAAUAAGCUAAUCUCAUUUCCCUUAUAAUGUUCCAUUUGUACAGCAACAAGGACAUGAAUAGCUGUUUAAAACAGGAAUUUUUGACUAGCAUCGAAACAGGCAGUGAAAAUCAGAGGAAUAUGUUGCCCAGAAAAGCUGUGGAGUCUUCAUCCCUGGAGACACUGAAGACCUGACUAGACAAGACCCUUAGCAAUCUGCUCUACCUGAUCCUACUUUGAGGCAUGCAGUAGCCUACGUGAUCUCCAGAAGAUCCUUUGAAUGUUAACUAUUCUGCAAUUCUGCCAAAUAGUCCCUUCCUGGGAGAUGAAAUGUGGAGGAACAGACUCCCUUGAACCCAAUACCACAUCAAAGCUCAGUAGUGCCAGUUUUCACCUGCUUAGCAAUGAUCAUAAGAAUUCCAUGUAAUUUCUCCAUUUACACCCACGACAAUAUGUGGCAGGGCCUACCAUACAGAAAAAGAGCUAUUAAGAAUCAACUUUCUUAUUUUUAGAAUCACUCCACCAAAGUACCUUCAUUUUAAAAAGUGUCUCUUUUUGAGUGUCACUGCAUUGUUAUUGGUAUAAACUGUUACUUGAUCCAGGUUGGUUAUUACAGAUUUAUUCUCGCCUAUUUUCACCAUAUCACCUAUGUUUGUAAGCUAUUAAAUAUUUCAUUGAGAA